AAGCAGCACUUACUUAAUCAUCAUAGAGAUGCACAUGACCAACAGAUCAACCCAAAAGCAACACCUCAUCAUCACAAAUAUGCACAUAUCACUACGGUUGGAAGCAUGCAGGUAAAUAAAUUUUAAGGAUGCUGACAAAGGUCUCGUGGAAGAGGGGUUCCAUCCUGGCAAGCUAUACCUUCAAGUGUUGAACCAUCUCUGGGUGUAGUUCGGCGGCGGCGGUGGAAGCGCCGCAGGACGUCCACAACAGCCUGGAUCAAGGCAGCCUGGACAACCGGAUUCGUGACCAUGGUCAUCUUCUCGGCCAUCUUGCUGGCUGUAGACGCCACCACCGCACAUCCAUGGUUGUAGCGCCCACCAACAUCACCUCCGGGCAGCCCAGCACGUCGACGGAGCUGUGGACGCUCGAAGCCAUGGCCAUGUCCAUCUUCCUCCUCUGAAUCAGGGACAUAAAGCCCCUACCUCCAUGCCGAUGCCUUCAUCUUCCGAGUCAAGGACAUACAACUGGUCGAGGUGAUCGACGCGAAGGCGACUGCGGCCAAUGUUGAGGAUGCGUUCCGGGCUCCGAUCACCGCCACCGGCCCCAGCUUCACGGGUUCCUUCGGUCUUCUACCACUGUCGCACAUUUUGGGGAUAGGCACGGAGCUCGCGCCGCCAUCCCCAAUCCCGUCGCACAUCUUGGGGACAGGCACGAAGCUCGCGCCACCUUCCCCAAUCCUGUCGCACAUCUUGGGGACAUCGCCUUCCCCAAUCUUGAUGACGGAUCUUGGGAUUUCAUCGCCUCUCCCAAACACAGGGAUGCACACGGGGCUCCCAUCAGCGCUGCUGCCCGCGUUGGCAUCGACGACUAACACCUUAACUGGGCGCUUGGGGCUCCCAUCGCUGCUGCUGCUGGCUAGCUUCGCACCUCGAUGUGUGGAGCGCCUAACCCGCUGGAUCCAGCUCCCAUGGGUGCAGAAAGGGCGGCGUCGAGAUCCAACCAUCCCUGUUGACGCGCGAGGCCUGAGGAUGGAGAAGGGGAAGAAAGUGAUCGAUGCGGCGGAAGCUGGAGGAGGCGGCGCGGUCAAUGGAGCUGAGGGAGAUGCAGUGGAAGAUGGGGGAGGUAGCGCGAUCAGUGGACCUGACGGGCGCUGGAAGAGAGUCGUGUGGAUGAGGAUGACAUGCGAGCUGUAGAACAUGUGGUGGGGAAAGCGGUGAGGGAGGAGAUUUUCACCGCGUUCGGUCGGCUUGUACAACCGGUUCGACUGGCUGAUGCCGUAUUCAAUGCUAUAGUACCGCAUGAGGAGGCAACCACCAAGAGACAGUGGUGACAGCUAUUUGGGUCACAUCCAUAGACCUGGCACACGCUACAUUUGCAUUAUUUUGCGGACAAAGCUCGCUCCCUCCAUCUGCAAUCUUUCACGGACGGGGGAGUACUACGUAGCGGUUCUUUUAGUCUCGAUUGUUAUUACCGACCGGGACUAAAAGAUAUCUUUAAUCCUGGAUUUUUCACCCUGAGUAAAGAUUGGGACAUUCAAUCCAAAUUUGGUAGCGUGGGUCGGAAAACUGGGUUAUAGUGGGUUUCUCACCCGGAACUAAUGAAGGAUUUCCCACGGUAUCUUGUAGAAAAAACAGAGUAGGAUUUAUUAGGACUUAAAACUGAUGAUGAACGUAGUAUAAACAUUUUACCAGAUUUCCUAGUAUGCGCACAUAAAAAAAUCACGUGUACCUGGGAGGAAGACACAGUCUUAUAUUUAACUAAAAAUAAAUAAAAAGAAAUUUGUUCCAGUACCGAAAGUUGGAAGCCGGCACUCGUUUUGCCUAGUCUGAAUUUCCCCUCCUAUUAUAUUUGAUCAAGAUGAGAAAAGAAAAGUAGGCUCGAUGGAAGCAGAGGACUGAACGAGAGGCAGACGAACCGGCCUUUACAUAAACAAAGACAAAGAAAGGAAAUAAAAUACUCUAAAAUGGGAGGAACGAGGAGGCUCCCAGAAUCUUAGGCCUCGGUUUCCUCAAACCCCACACCUCCCACGAUCCAAAAGAAAACCCCGUUCCCCACUCCCCACCUCGCCAUCUCCGGCCAGAUCCCCCUCCGCCGUCGAUCGGGGGCUCAGAUGGCCACCAAGCGCCACGCCCGCGGGGCAAGCUCCGACGACUCGGAGGAUCUGGGCCACGAGGGGGCCAAGAAGCCGGCCAAGCCCGCUCCGCCGUCGCCGGAGGACGAGGGUUCCGAGGAGGAGCGGGACACGGAGGCGAUGGAGGAGGAGAGCGACAAGUCCGGCGAUGCCCGGCCUGUGAGGCAUGCGCUGGCAGCCGCGGCCCCCAAGCCCAAGGAGACGCUGAAUCGGGCCAAGAAACCCUCGCCGGCGGCGGCGGCGGAAGAUGUUGGAGCCCAGGCCUCUGGUGAGGCCCCUCUGGUGAGGGAUGCGCGGCCCGAUGAGCUGGCCGCCGCUGCGCCUCCACUGCGCAAGAAGUCCAAGACCAAGAAGACGACGAAGCCGGUCAAGAGACCCCCGCCGCCAUCCGAGGAGGAGUCCGGCGACCCGUCUCUGGUCAGCAACGAGACCGCCGCCGUGUCUCUCCGGCGUGAGAUCGUCGCCUCCCUCGACCACAACAAGAGGGGCGCGAUGUCUCCUCCACUGAAGCGGGCCAAGAGGGACGCUACGCCGCCGCAAGAGGACGAAGAGCAGGUGGGGAAGCGCGCUGCAGGAGCUGAUAAUGAUGGAACCAGCGAGCCCCAGGCCGGGACUGGCGUGCUGGUUGAAAAGACCUUCGCCGCGUUGUCCCCACAGCACAACAAGAGAAGCAAGACGUCUGCCCCCAAGUACAAGCACAAAAAUAAGAAAAAGAAGCAGCCUGGGAAGGGGUUGGCCAAGCUGCCACAGCCCAAGUCUGCAGGAUUUGAGCUCACCAGUGAUAGAGAUGAGGCGCUGGGUGCUGGCAACACCUUACCACCACAGGAGAAGGAUGGUGCUCAGGAAGAUAAGCAGCAUGGGGAGGGCAAAGAGGACGAGGGGCUUGAGGUGUCCAGUGAGGCUCUAUCGGAGAGGGAUGCUUCUUCACCCAAGCCAUGCAGUUCCGAGGAAGAGAAGAAGCCAGCAGUAGAGCGAUCGUGGUCCAAGGAUGAUGAGCUCAAGAUUCUCCACGCUCUGGUCGAGCAUGCCCAGUCCCACCACGGUGCGCAGCCAGACUCAUCACACCUCUUGGCCAACCUCACCUUUGACAAAAUCGACGCCAAUGCAGACAAGCUCAAUGACAAGAUCCGCAAGCUCAGAACGCGGUAUCGCAGGUGGUGCUUGCAGGGAUGCCCAACUGAUAACCUUGGUGGUCGGCUGUUUGAGCUGUCUGCCAUUCUCUGGGGCCAAGGUGACGAUGAUGUGCAGGUUGAGGCAACAUCAACUAAGGAGUUCAGUCAGCGAUCAAGCUUGUAUCCUUAUCUGGCUGAGGAGGUCAAAGCCUAUGCUGAAACACACACCUCUGGAGACUUGGUAAUGGCAGCAUUCGCUACCAUAGGUCAUGAUAAGGCACGCCAUCUUGAUGCUAUGUGCAAGCAGCAAAGAGUUGACUCGUUUAAAUUGGAGCGGAGCCAGGCAAACCUAACCAAGGCAAUGCUUUCAGCAUUUUCAAGUUAUAUAUAAUUGACUGGUUUGGCAUUAUGUGGUGUGGUAAAUCUCUCUGCUUCCGUUUGUUUUAAUGUAAUGGGUAGAUUUGCUGCCACGGGUUUAUGUACUUGCAAGAGGCUCUUUUUGUGGGUACUGCAAAGCUCCUAUUAUUUAGUUGGUCUCUUAGUGUCAGUGUCUGUUUCUGCAUAUGGAUCUAGCUGUUACAGCUAAAUGUGGAAAACAGUACUUUAACUAUUAUUAUAAGCACAGCUCCAAUCAGACUGUUAGCUCGUAUGAUUUUCUUAACUCUUGUACUACGUUCCCUUGCUGCUCAAACAAUACUAGACUGAGUACACUUUUUGUGAAUUUUAAUUACUGCAAAUAAAUAUCCAUACUAAAUAGUUGGUGUGGGAAUAAUGUAGGAUUGGAAAUGGCAAUAUAGCUAUGCGUGGCGAUAUUUCUGUAACAGCAGUAUGACAGCAUCUGACCAAGUGACCAUUAUAAAAGAUUGGUGCAUUUCCUUUGUCCUCUGUCGCAUUGAUCAUAGAAUUUAACGUAGUAAUCCUAUUAUGUUAUGCUAGCACUAGCAGUAUAUGAUAGACCUGAGACCACUGUAGCAUAUGCUACAUUCAUGUGCUAAUCUGUAAUCUGUAGCAUGUUGUAUGUUACCUGCUCAGCCCUUUGUUAAAACAACAUCACAGCUUGGAUGCAUAAUAUUAUUCAUAUUUCAGUGACCUUAAAAAAUUGAUAGGAUGGGCAUUAUGCCUAGAUAGGAAAAAGGUUCCAAAAUAUUUUAAUAACUUCCAUGUCAAAUAUGGAAGCACUGCGGAACAUCAUUUGUAUGCGAAAGAAAUGUGAUGGGAUGAGUCGGGAGUUGUUGAUCUAAAGAGAUAAAGAGAUGGAAUGUUGUGCUGCAGAUGGAGUUUCUUGAAAAAUAUUUUUCAAGACUAUAUUCCAUCUGUAUUCUCAUAGAUGCAUGGAAUGCUGUGCUGGAGAUGGUCUCAAGUGUAAUCUCAUAGAUAGUAAAAGACUAUAUUCUCAAAUUUGAUAUGCUAAUGACAUGAAUUGAUCAGAUGUUUGAAUAAAAAUGAUACUGAUUUUACUUGUCUGUGUGAGAGUAUUACCAAGCUAUUUGGAGCUGUCUCAUGACGUUCCACUAAUUAUCUCUGCAAUAAGCUAUGUCAUAACGGGAUGUUCAGGCAAAACAACACUCUUCAGAAUGUGAUGUUCAGUUCAACAUCAAUGCUGAGGCUGCAGAAGGGCAUCGACGUCGAUGUGCAGUACUGCAGUCCAUGCUCGCCACAGAGAUCACUGCCACCAUCAUGGUAACAUGAUUUUAACUCUGCUCAUUACUCAUUGCAGUAUCAAUUAACAUCUUAUACAUGCUGGUGCCUUUUUUUUGGGAUUAAAGCAUAACUAAAAUUGUAAUGCUUAAAAUACAAGAUUAGUAAACAUGCAGUUGCUAGUGGUUUUAGAAUUUGAAUGGUGCUGAAAGAGAUGAUAUAUUCCCAAAUACAUAUUCUCUUUGCCUAAUAUUGCGCAUACCUUACUGAAAAACUCUUCUUUGGUCACCGUAGUUGGUACAGCAAUGGCAAGAGCGUACGUGAAGAAGCACAGUGGACAUGACCAAGAGCAAAACUGACGAUUCCAGAUUCCCAAUUAAAAUUUGUCUAUUCUUGUCCCUGUACUUAUGUAAAACACUAACACUUGUCAACCCUUGUCUUUCCUUGCCAACUCUGCCACUUUAUCAACAUCGGCUGCCCCAUGUUGGCAGGUGAUUUGAAAUAGAUGGAAAACUGGAAGAAUUGAAUUGUGUGCAAUAUUAAUAUGGUUUUAGCCAACAUACGCGCGUGGCUAGUUUUUUAAAGCAUAUGGAUUUUUUUCGGAAUGGGAGGGGAGAAAGAAGUAAUACGAAGUUUGGUACUGUUUAGUUAUGUUGCAUUUUCUGUAAAAGUUAUGAGAGUUGUGCAACUCUCGUGCAAAGUUGCGGUAUUUUGCAUGAUUUUAUUUGAAUCGUUGUUAUUUUUGUUGAAAUUUUAUGUGCCCAUAGCAAUGCACGGGCCAUUACAUAGUAUAUAUGACAUCUCUAAUUUGCUAGCACUAGAGGAAAAGCUCCAGAGCCAUCAUGUGUAUGCCGUUGAUGGUCAAAUGUAUCUAACUUAAGCCUCAGUUCUGUGCAAUUUAAAUGCCAAAAUCUCAACGCAAUUUAAUAAAUGCCACAAUAUAAUGUUCCCAUUGGCUGUCGUUCCCUAACUGGCCUGCCUUCUAAUAAGCUGUCUGUACCACUAGUUCAUAGCAAUGACUUCUGUGUUGGGCGUUGGUGUAGCCUGAAUCAACUUGCGCGCGCGCGCUGCAAGUAUGCCACGCUGCUCCACCCAGUUUGCUUGCGGUUGCCUGUGCUGGUUGAGAGGAAUUUGCUCUAUUGACAUCCCUAAAAUUUGGUCUUCGCACAUUUGACACCUAAAACAUAAGGUUGCUUGAUUUCCUAACAUUGUCACCUUUUUAUAUCGGUUCCCUUUUCUUUUUGCUCUGUUGGACACCUGAAAUGACCAUAUUAGCCCCUGAACUAUACAAGACACACACUACCUUCCUUUUGCUUUUGAACAGCAUUUCAUAACUGUUAUUUUCACAUGAAUGAACUUUGCAGCCACACCAAGCGCCAUGCCACAAUAUAUUUUUGCACAAAUAUUACUAUGUUAGAGAAACACAAUAUGGCUCCAGUUCAUCGCCAUAUACAUCCAGCUUCACGCAGUAAGUUUAUACAUAUAGUUCAUGUUUACGCAUCUCAACCAAAUAGGUUGAAUAGUUCACAUGUAUAGUUCAUAAAUAAAUCUUAGCAGUAAACAGCAUUUGAACCAAAAUAAGUUCAGUCAGCAUGCAUGCGUCAUUUAGGCAAGAGAAAAAGCAACGUACACUGGUAGAGAACUCGGUAUUAGUCCCGGUUGAUAGGGUGCAAAUCUCCCGAAAAUCCAUCCGAGAUAAACCAACCGAGACAAAAGGGGCGCCUUUUAUCCUAGGUCACUCAACCGGGACUAAAGAUCCCGUUUUAUCCCGGUUAGUAAUACAGGUCACCAUGCCAGGUGCUGCAAAAAAAAAAAAUCCCAGGAGGCCCCCCACACGCACACAUCCCAAGUCACCCCGUGGGGACCUUUUUAUCCUUGUUAGAAACAUCAACCGGGAUAAAAGUUCCCCUUUUAUCCCGGUUGGUAUUACAAACCGGGACAAAAAGGUUCGAGGGAUUUAGUCCUCUUUCAGCCACCCCGUUGGGGACCCUUUUAUCCCGGUUGGUUUAUCUAGGAUGGAUUAUCGGGAGAUUUGCACCCGGUCAGCCGAGUACUAAUAACGAGUUCACUACCAGUGUACGUUGACUUUAUGCUCUUGCCUGAAUGACGCAUGCAUGCUGACUNNNNNNNNNNNNNNNNNNNNNNNNNNNNNNNNNNNNNNNNNNNNNNNNNNNNNNNNNNNNNNNNNNNNNNNNNNNNNNNNNNNNNNNNNNNNNNNNNNNNUUAAAACCACCUCUUUUUGGCGCCUUCUCUUCCUGUUUGAAACACCAACCCGGAUGGUGCCUUUUAUCCCGGUUGGUGUUUCAAACCGGGAUAAAAGGCCUCUCAGGGUCUUUUUUUUCCACUAGCCUUUGCAACCGAGAUAAAAGGUCCCGGUUGGUGAGCCCCUGCUAGUGACCGAGCUUUAGUCCCGGUUGAUGAAACUUUUGUCCUGGGCCAACUUUAAACCGGGAUAAAUAGGACGCAUGGAAAGUGAGUUCUCUACUAGUGGUAGAUAAACACUAAUACAGGCAAGGGCGCAUGCGUCAUUUGAUAGGCCAAAAUAAUGAAAACAAAAGAAAAUAAAUUAAAAAGAGAAGAAUGUCACAAAAUCAAGCAAGCUAACGUUUCGGGUAUUAAAUUUGCGAAGCAAAUGUUUCGGAUGUCAAAUAUGCAAAGCCGUUUGUUUGGAGUGUCAAUAGAGCAACUUUCUCGUUGGUUGAAUCCCUGCAGUAAUUCAAUGGGUUUGGUUGCUCUGCCUGCAGAUGCUGUUCACUGUGCUGGCCCUUCACCUCACUGAGGCAUGCACAUCCUGUUCCCUUUGUGUUCCAUUUUUUGAAUGUGGUGAUAGCUUGUGGUUUCAAGUUUUGAUGUGCCAAGAGGUUGUUUGCGAAACCUUGAAAACUGAAGUGCAUUUGGUCUUGGGUCUGAAUAAAUAGUAGAGAUACUUUCAUUGCAUAUGCUGUGCUGCCUGGCACUUCCUGCUGUUGCUUUUGUGAAAUAUGUUGUCAAAGUUUUUCAUUCCGGGGCCUGAUUUUGCUUCAGUAGGCAGAUUACUCCACUUUGUAGGUUCCUAUGCUGCCUUGACUAGUGGGAACUCUAUGCUCACCUGUUUUCUUUAAUGUGCUACGUAGAUUCAGAUAGGUACCUACUGGAGAACUGACCUUCCAUUCUGAUGCUUUUCUCCCGGUUGACUUUGGACUCGGGACUAAAAUGCCAUUUUAGUCUCAGGUCAAAAAUAAGGCAUCAAAGGCUACCGAUGGGAGGCGCUUUAGUCCCGGUUGUAAAGAUCAACCGGGACUAAAGCCCUCCUUUAGUACCGGUUGUAACGGCUAAAAAAUCUGGCACCGAGGAUCCUCCCCCCCAACUUUUGUUCCGAUUGGAAAUUCCAACCGGGACAACUAGGACUAAAUCUUUCCACAUGGUCCCCCUCUCUCUCCACCUUCCUUAUCUUCUUCUAGGCAGUGCUCUCCUCCUCUCCACCUUAUCUUCUUCCAGGCGCCUCCCCUCCUCCCUCUCUGCGCCGCUGCCACCCCCUGCCUACCCCCCCUCUCGCCGCCGCCACCCCCUCCCCUCCCUCUCUUCUCUGCCUUCAUCUCCCACGCCCUCUCCCUCUGCUGCCCCUCCUCCUCCCCCUCUGCUCGCCCCUCACUGGUAGUGAGGAGGGUAGUGGCGCGGCCGGCGGCCGGUGCGGGUGGAGGCAGAGUGAGGGCGGGCGGCGGCAGAGUGGAGGCGGGCAUCGACGCGCUGCCGGCCCAUUUUUUUUAUUUUUUUGCAACUUUUUAGUCCCGUUUGGUUUUACCAACCGGGACUAAAGGGGGUCUCUAAUUAGUCCCGGGCGAAUGACCCGGGACUAAAGGACCCCUUUUUGUCUCGAAUGAUUAGUCCCGGUUGGAUUUUCGGGAUCUAUGGUCCUAUCCAACCGGGACUAAAGCCGUGUUUUCCAGUAGCACACAUGUACUCAAUAAUUUCAUUUGCCACCUAAUAGAUUAUAUACGAAGAUUGUAGCUUCCGCUCCGGUUGUGCCUGUCCGAUGUCCAGUGUUCAGUGGUGCUGGACUAGGUGAACCAUUCUGCUUCAAUAGUGGUCAUGUGCCUUUCUAAGUUGCAUGAAAGCUUCCGUGCUGGUUGGUUUGGGAUCUUUUGUUCUUGGAGGUUAAACAGACUGCUUUUAUUUGUUACUAUGCAUGCUGUCCUUCCUAUGUGCCUUCCGUUUUGGCUUGUUUGCGAUCUUUGGCUAAUCUGCAGUAUAGAAUCAUUUGCAUAUGUAAAACUAUCAUCGAAUUAGUGGUCUUAGAUUUGCAGGUUUCAGGUUACUAUCUUUCCAACAGCAUAUCUAUGUGCCCAGUCAGAUUAUUGUCCCGCCGUACAUAGGAACCUCCGAAGGUGUGCCUCUGUGCCAAUCCAGUGGAAAUGCUCGUGUUGAUCUUUGAAGAAACUAAAUUUGAUUGUACCUCCAACCUAACGUAGUUUGCAUGAUUAACAAGCCUAUUGGUUUGUUUUCAGGGAUUUCUUUUUAAGUUCCUUCGCCAUUGAGAGACCAAUAUCAAUCUGAAAUUUGCUUCUGCUUUUGACUCAAGUUACACUCUUUGGGUGCUGUGCUUUGACAGUUUUAUCAAUCCUUGCUCAUUGUAAUUAUUGUUUAUCUACAGUUGUGCGCCUCCUUAAUCUUUUUUUCUUGUCUAGGUGACUUUCUGCAUGUGCCCUUCAUAUCAUGACCACCUUUUGUUCCUGGACCAGUGAACAGGUGAAGUUCUCAUCCAUAGUUCCAUGCUUUUUUCCUUUCUCCUGCAAUACAUUAUUCUUCAGCAUAUUUAGUAACUUACUCAUGUGCUCCUGGUGGUCAAUGAAUCCAUCUUAUAGGUCUCACUAUCUUUAUAUUUUUCCCUUCACUUGUUUUCAUGGAAAACAACGAGUAUUGUGUCCACUUAUACUUUGGAGUAGGGCUUUUGCACACUUUAUACCAAGUUAAGCACAUUGCUUACACAAAUAUAAGAUAUGGCUAUGAAUAUACUGACAUGUCAUAAAGUCAUGGGGAAAGAGCCCUGAGCCCCUGCUACCUGUCAUUAGUCUGCAUAUCUGUUGAGGAUGUGUGUUUGUUGAAUUAGAAUAUAAUUGUUGAUGUUAAAAGCUCUACCUUUCUACCUCAAUAUACUAAGAAGUCUGUUCUCUAAUAGGUUCAGGCGAUGAAAUAAUCGACCAGCCAUUGACAAAUUAAAGUCCUUGAUGUGUAUGUAACAAUUUACUAGGGCCUCUACUUUUCUGCAGUUCUUCUGUGUUCUCUGGAGGAUGUGUGUUCUUUUGUGUAUAUAAUGGUGUUCUUCCAGCCAAAUUGUCUAAAUCUCACUGUAUGGAUCAAAGCAGUGCACUUUACCUAUUCAAAUGGAAACGACCUGACUCGCAAUUAUCACUUCCUACUGCUUUUGUCAAUUGUCCAGAAGUAUAGCUGGACAUUUGGCACUAGCACUAGGGGCCGGCCCAAACACGACACGAAAAAGCACGGCCCACGAACAGCCCAGCCCGUGACUCAUAGUGCCAGUGCCUGGCACGGCACAGCCUUAGUGCCGUGCCUGUGCUGCCAUUUCGGCCUGUAGUGCCGGCACGGGCAUGGCACACUUAAUGGGUCGGCACGAUAGCGGUCCAAUUCCUCCCGACCGUUGGAUGCCAUCAGAAUGCACCAGCACCGUUAGGUGAGCGGAGAGUGACAUAUAUAAAGAAAUAUGUGCCUGGAACUCUAACUCCCUGCUUCUCUCCCGUGGACGCCCGCCCGCCCGCGGGGGGCCGCCGCCGCCGCCGGAGCAUGGCCGCGGCUCCUCCCCUCCCUCUCUGGCUCUCUCCUCUGGCCGCCCGCGAGGGGCCGCCGCCGCCGGGGGCGUGACCCCGCGGCCGGGAGGAGUGGAGGGCCCCCCGCCACCGCCGCCAGGGCGCAGCCGCCAGGAGAAGUGGAGGGGGCCCGCCGCCACCGAGGUCCACUGCAGCUGGGAGGAGUGGAGCUGUGGAGAGGCGUGGGCACGAUGGGCUGCCGUGCCGGCACGGCACGGCUAAUCAGCUUGAGGGCCGUGCCCGUGCCGAGAUGUCGGCACGACGGCACUACGAGGCACGGCACGGCUAAGCCACCGUGCCGCAUAGUGCCGUGCCAUAUAGUGCUGUGCGGCGUUGUGCCCGUGCCCGUGCCGUGCCGUGCGCCCGGUUGGCCACCUAUAUCCAGAAGUCACAGGGCAUAUUGUUUCCUAACAAACAAAGUAUACCAAAAGAGAAUCGGAAGGUUUCAUUCAGUACAUCACCUUUCAGUCUGAUAGAUCAAGAACGUUCCAUUGAUUGCCACCGCAACGCCCCUGCAGAACAACCACCAUGCCAAAGCACCAGGUUUGGCCUCUCCGCGCAGGACCAGAACAAGAUGAGCUAGGGCCCAAGUCUAUCCUCUGCACGCCGUCGUGAGCCGAAUUGCUCGUGCAACUCCGCUUGGUGGCUUCAUGCCCAUGCGAGCGCCCUUGCUUCACCAGCCGAACGUACCGCAGGCUCCGCAUUGCCUCCGCUGUUUGGCCCCAUAGGCACGCACAGGUGGCUGGGGCGCUGGGCAUGCAUUUGUCUCGCGCCGUGCGUCGAGGCCCGAACAGCGUCGCGCCCACGUCGGCCUUCCUUGGCCCCGCUCCGUGCCAUGGUGUGAAGCACCUGGUUGCCGCAGCCCACAUGGGAUGGGGAAAAGCGCGUCAAGGCGAGAAAGACGACGGACGGAAGAAACGGAGAGAGAAGGCUGCGCACCGCGAAAUUGAGGGAGCCUACACUGAGGGAAGGGAGGCGGCGGUGGGACAACGGGAGAGGUGGUCGGGCGAGCGAUACGGGAGAAAAGAGGCAAAGCGAUCCUAAUUCAUGCUAAUAUAUAUUUGGUUGUCCAUCCGUAUCAAUGACUCAACGUGCCACUACAGAGCUCUAACUGGCAGCACGGCAAGAUGAUGUCCAGCACACAAGGACGUUCGCUCAUUGUGAUGGACAUGUUUGAGUUUUUACCUAUACUAUAGAAUUUUUUUUGAGAGAACAGGAGGCGUGCCCUACUGAUUAAUUAUAUAUAAAAAGGUAAAAAGAGUACAAACAAAUGAGUAAAUCCAAGAAAGGAAAGGAAAGGAAGCCAAAAUGAAAGGAAGGUUAACUAACCAACUAAAGGAUAAAAAAACAAAAAGGAAAAAAAGAACUGGGGGGGGGGGGGGAUACAGAGCGAGCUAAAAGGUUUGCAGCCAGACUUCCAUCAUGGGUAAGUGUCUUGACUUUGCUCCCAGACUUCCAUCAUGGGUAAGUGCCUUGGCUUUGCUCGGUGACGGAGCAUUGAGAAUUCUUGUAUGAAAGUUAGUUUGCACCGCUCUACUGUCGGGUCCUCGUUGUUGAACAUCCAUGCAUUUCUCAUCUUCCAUAUGCUCCAAGUCAUAAGCAGAAUAAUCUCCAUGGCAAAGGGUAAUCCCAACCUGUUCCGGACUUGUCUAAUGAUUUGUUGGGGGCGUUCUUGUUGAAGUAUAUGAAAUCCCAAUAGUGUUCCAGCAUCUUUUUGCAAAGUUACACCCGAAGAAGAGGUGGGAAACUUUUUCCACUUUUUGCAAGAUACAUAACUCGCAAUUAUAUGAAUCCAGCUGCAUUUGUUUUCUUCUCAACAAGUCCCUUGUGCUUAAUCUGUCCUUCAACAGAAGCCAGAACAAACCUUAUGUUUCAUCUGGCACCUGGAAGCCCAUAUCCAUGUGAAGGCCGGGUGAACAUCUCUCUGUCCAAUAAGCAAUUUGUAAGCCUUUGAGGUAGAGAAUGUAGGGUUGCCCCAGAUAUAUGUCCAUACAUCUUGACCCGGAUCCCUAACCAUCUUCUGAAUGAUACCUUGCAGGACAUUAAACUGAUUAUAUGCCUGAAUGGAUAGUGGUAAAUUGAAGUUAUCGAUGAAUGCCUCACGGUUAACUAUCUCCCUAAAAGAGUCACUUAGUUUCUUUGUAAAGGAGUACAGUUCAGGGAAGUCCUAGGCUGGCACAAGCUGCAUCCACAAGUCUUUCCAGAAGGACACAGAAGAUCCAUCAUUGACUGUCGGUGUUGCAAUUCCCUUAUAGACAUCCAAUAGUUUGACAAUAUCUUUCCACCAAAAAGAUCCCUUAGCUUGCUGUCCCAGUAUUUUGCCAUCUGUAUAGUAGUUGUCCCAUAUUAACUUGACCCAUGGAAUAUCUGCCCUCGUAAAAAAUUUGUGUAGGUAGUUGAGUAACAUGGCAUCAUUAUGUACAGAGAGAUUUUUGACCCCCAGCCCCUCUUGUCUUUUGGGCAAUCUUACCAUGUUCCAAGCUGCUUUAUGUGGCUGGUUUGAAUUGAGGUCUCCCCCUCUCCAAAGACAGUGUUUGCAAUAUCUGUCUAAUUGCUUGAUGACUCCUUUGUGUAAUUUUAAAGUUCUAGUGUAAAACACAGCUGAGGAGGAGAAGAUUGAAUUUACCAUUUCCAACUUGCCUCCUUGACUCAGAAAAACAGAUGUGCUACUUAGCCUCUUUUCAAUUCUUUGCAUCAAUGGAAUGAAGUCUUCAAUAUUUGGUUUUGUUGUUCCAAGCGGCAGGCCAAGAUAUGUGAAAGGAAAGGAUCCCUUCUGACAGUCAAAGCCUCUUGCUAGUGCUUCCAAGGUUUGGUCAGUGAUGUUUAGGGGGACCAUGAUCGACUUUUUAUAGUUGACUUUGAGCCCUGUGGAUGCCGCAAAGGAGUUAAGGAUCUCUUUAAGAUGCUGCAGUUGAACUGGAGAGGCCUCCAUGAUUAACAAGAUGUCAUCAGCGUAUUGGAUGACUGGGAAAUCAGUACCAGCUCACUUGGAAUUGGGAGUUUUAGUCUUCCUGAUUCCUUGGCAUGGUUUAUCACUGACUGUAGAAGAUAUGCUGCUAGAACAAACAAAAGGGGUGAAAGAGGAUCGCCUUGUCUGACUCCCCUUUUGCAGUGGAAUACCUUUCCUGGAGUGCCAUUGAGUAGGACCGAUGAGGUGCCAGUACUUAAGAUGUUGCUGAUCCAUUGGAUCCAUUUAUCACUGAAACCUUUGUACUUCAAAAUCUGUAUAAUGGUUUGGUGUUCGAUCUUGUCAAAGGCUUUUUUAAAGUCUAGCUUCAGAACAAUCAACUCUCUCCUGGAGGCUUUACAGAGAUGUAGGAAUUCAAAAGCCCAUGCAAGGCAAUCGUGUAUGGAUCUGGUCUUAAUGAAGCCAUAUUGGUUAGAGUGUAUCAACCGUAGAAUUACCUGCUGGAGUCUCUCAGCUAGAAGCUUCGUGAGUAACUUGAUAGUUGAAUUCAAAAGCGAGAUGGGCCUAUAGUCCCCAACACACAAGGGGUUUUCCUUUUUAGGGAUCAGAAUAAUAUAAGAAGAGUUUAUGCUAUUGAGGCAAACUCGUCGUUCCUGAAAGUCUUCACAGAGCCUGUAGAAAUCCUGACAAAUAAGUGGCCAGCAUUUUUUAAUAAAAUCUUCAUUAAAUCCAUCUGGCCCCGGAGAUUUAUUUGUGGGGAGCUCUGUCACAAUCCUGUCAAUUUCCUCUUUUGAGAAUGGACUGUGUAACCAGUCUAAAUUUCCAUCUGACUGUAGCAAGUCUUCAAGGUUUAGAUACAUAUGCGUAAACUCAGAGGAUCCCAACCUAUCUUUAAAGCUUUCCCAAAGAAGAGAGGCUUUAGCUUCACGAUUAAAAAGAGCUCUCCCUGUGUGAUCAACCAAAGAGGUAAUAGAGUUCCCUCUAUUUCUUAUAGAAGCAUUGGCUUGAAAAAACCGGGUGCAUUCAUCCCCUAGCUGAACCCAUCUAAUUUUUCCUCUCUGCUGCCAGUAUAUCUUCUAUUGAUGUAGAAGAUUUUCCAGGUGGGUUGCUAUUGUCUUUCUAAAGUGCCAUUCAUCCAGACUUAGGUCUCUUGAUUCUUCCAAGAUGUCCAUAAAAAGGAUCAACUCCUUGCAGUUUGAGAUGGCCAGUGCCAAGUUUGGGAGUUGUUGUUUCCAUGCUUUAAGAAUUCUCCUCAGGUUUUUGAACUUUGCUGUAAUUAUCUUGGCAUACUCAGAUUGUUGAGUAGGAAUUCCCCAGGCAUGUUGGAGGACAGGGAUAAAAUUAUGAUGUUGUAACCAAAAGUUUUCAAAUCUGAAGACUUUUGGUUUUGGCAUUUUUGUACAUGCGGUAAUGAGGCAAGGUGUGUGAUCCGAGAUAUCCCUUGAUAGGCCUGUAAUAGAAGAAUUCGGAAAAGAAGUAGUCCAUGCUGGGGAGGUGAAAAACCAGUCAAGCCUUUCCAGUAGGGGGUUAAGCUGCUUAUUAGUCCAUGUGAAUUUGCAACCCCUAAGUGGAAGCUCAAUUAGCCUGAGCCUACUGAUUGCAGCAUUAAAAGCCAUCAUUUCAUGGACAUUCCCACCGGGCUUGUUUCUAUUGUCUGGUUUGCGAAUUAGGUUGAAGUCUCCAACAACUAGCCAAUUCUCAUCAUCUGGCAUUUGUAUAUGUUGCCACCAAUUCAGAAAUGCCACUUUCCCUUCCGUGGUGCAUGGAGCAUAUACAUUUGUUAAGACCCAGUCUUGCCCCGAUAAUUUGCAAGUGAAUCUCACCGAUUGUGCAUAGUUAUUGGAGAAUUCUAAAGAUCCUUCAAAUUUUGCAUCUUUCCAAGCAAUAAGGCUUCCUCCCGAAUUUCCAACUGAGGGGAGAAAUACAAAACUUCCCAUGCAUGGUGGGCACAAUUUUUUUUAAUGAAUUGGAGAUCACAAAACUCUCUUCUGGUACCCUGUAAACAUAGGAUGUCACAAUUUGAUUCUUUAACCUUACUUUGUACUGCCUCCCACUUUUUUUGUGCAUUGAUCCCCUAAUGUUCCAAGAUAACACUUUCCAGGUUCUCUUGUUGUUGUCUGAAUUCAUCUAAAGCUAGUUGGGGUUCAGGAGACCUUGUAGUUAGAUUGACUAACUGGUUUCUGAGGCGAUAAAAUACCUCUUAUUCCAACCGACGAGAUCAUUUCCCCGUUCCAUAACCAUUGGGGAGCAAGAAUAGAGCAGAAAUAGCAAAAUAUUCCACAGAGGUGGCAGAAGCAGCAUAAAUUGUUCACCAAACAACCAUUACCGAUCAUCAUUAUCCGCUAGUGAUUCAAAAGUGUCCCCAUAUCAAUAGUUAAUAAGAGGCAACUGAUCAUAAAAUUAAGGAAGAGUCUAAUAGAUAGUAGAAUAUGGAGCCAUCUACGCCUUGCUCCUCUUGAAGGUUCCUUUUGCAUCCUGCUCCUCCUUCUUCUCCUUGGCUCUUUCUUUCUUGGUGGAGACCACCUUCCUGUUACCGAUGGCAUGCUUGGUUCUGGAAGGAUUUGGCUUGGUCAUAACUUCUAAAGUUUCUGUGUUGAUUUUGCAUAAAUCAGAACCCAUGGUUUGGAUUAAGUCAAGAGAUAGAGUGGGAGGAGUAGAGGCACAUGCUAGGCAAUUCUUACUAGGGCGUCCCUGAUUUUUGAAUCCCCCAUUCUUGGCUUUGAGUCUUGGGCUGCGUCGUGCUUCUGUUUCCACAAUCGGAGUCUUGCUGCUCCUUCCUUUUGUAGCCUGAGUGUUGGGAUCUAUGUUGUUGUCGAGUGAAGAUAGACACUGCACUUCCGCAUUUGGUGGACAAACAGAGGGUAAAUUGAAAGUCAAGACUGAGGAUUGAUGAGAGACAAAAAUAAGGAAUUUCCAAGCUUGAGAAGACAGAAAUCUCUUUGCCCAAUGAAAGUGUGAUGGUGAAAGGAGUUUAACAGUAAAAAAGACCACCCAAUCAAGAGGAAUAGAAAUCACCUCCUCAGCACCCUGGACUGGAGAGAAGUAUCUUGCCCAGAGCCUAUAUAGAUCAGCAGGUGGUCCUGUACUAUUUCUGACAGUCUUCUCGUGCAUCAUCCAUCCUGGAUCAGCUUGGAUUGAGGGUAGUAGAGCAAUGUUGAUGUCCAGGUGCAUGUUGUGUCUCUGAUCAUUAGGAGAUCCAUUCAGAGCCAAUGCCUGAUGCCCACCUUCUUCUGCUUGAAGUGUCACCUGGCCUGCAUUAUCCACUAUCAUAUGAUCAGAAUGAUCCACUUCUCCUUGGGCUGCCACAUUGAGGUCAGGUAUCGGCCCAUGGGCUUGCUGCUGCUGGGCUGGAACAAAAUCCGGAAAGAAGUCAUCAUCAUCAACCAGGAAGUGUCCCCCCAGCUCAUUGACUGUUGGUAUGAGUUGUGGUCCCUGAAACAACUAGAAACCAUCCGCAAGUUGUGCAACAUCCUCUGUCUGAGCCAAACCUUCCUGGACUUGAGUAACUUGGAUAUCACUAAGAGUUUUGGGCUUGACACUGCUUUCGGACCUCAUUGAGCUCUCUGGAUCAGUAGAAUGCGAACUGGACCCCAUCAGGACUGAUAGUCCGAGGUCAAGAUCAUUGACAUCUUGCUGUGCUUCCCAUUCAUUGUCUUGAUGUUCAUCCACGUCAGGGCCUUCCACAUCAUCCAGCAAAUCAUUGAGAUCUGGCACUGCAUUUGGUUGAACAUUCUCCAUUUGAAAUUGUUGCUGUUGUUGCUGUUGCUGACAGUUUCCAUUCUGGGGUUGAGCAAGACCAAUUCCAGGGAAGAUAAAAUUACCCUCUAUCCCUGGUGGUGGAAUGUCUUCGUCCUGGAGUUGCCCUCCUAACAUAGUUUUUUGCAUGAUUUCCACUUGAACCGUGUGUGAGAUUCCUUCAAAAUCAUCACCCUCAGAUAGAACUAGAUAGUGAGGUAUGUCUUCUAGGUCCGUAACUCUUGCUUUCACAAUUACUCGGGCUAAGACAUUGUCUUUCUGCCAACAGAUGAGACGUCCAAAGGAUUUGAUAGUGUCCCGGAUAUCUUCCACACCCCUAGUGUCCACAGGAUAUCCUAUUAGCAUCAACCAGCAUUCAUUGUUGAAAAGAACCCUCCUCGCAUUGGGACCUCUGUUGUGCUGAACAACAUCGAUAUUGAAACCCUGAAACUGAUGAGGGUUGUGCUGUACUAGCGCUUCCCUAUCAAUCACUCGACACAUACGAACAAAAGCUUGAGCUCUAUGAAAUGGACUUUUCUGGAUAUCAGUGACCCUUAAUUCAUACAACCCCUCUAGCAGCCCUAAAAGGAUAGCUCUAGUCUCGGCAAAAUGGAAUCUCACCCGGAGGGGGGUCAGUGAUGGUGACGAUCGUCAAAUCUUCAUUUGCCGGCGGAGUUCUUGGAAUGACAACCCUCGAGUAUUUGGGUCUCCCUUGCACCAACACCCUAUGGAAUCCGGGGAGCAUCAUUGGCACUGGAUCAACAUUCAGAAACGCCAUUUCUUCACAGGAGAAGGGAAUGUCAGCGAUUAAGCUUGGGAUGGGGGGCUUGGUUCUAUAGGAAUUGGGGGAAAAGGCGAGAGGAGCGAGGUAGCCGAAGGGUCAGCGACUGUUGGGAAAAAGGUGCUCUUGUUCAGUGCCCCUUGGGUAGAAUCCAGACGUGGGCUUUGGUAGUUGGGCCUAGCGGGGAGAGAUGAUCCUCCUCUGAACCACCGCAGCCCAACAUCCGAAGGCCAGACAUAGGGGUAUUACAGAGGAGAAAUUACUUCUUACAGGGGAAUUGCACCGCGCCGUAAAUUUUUGGAGACCGUGAAAGGAAAUGCAUUCCCUGGAAAGGUGUCCAUCUAGAUUGCAGCGCCAGCAUUUGAUCGGGUUGUUGCAGGUUGAGCUGAGGUGGUUCGGCGAUAAGCAUCUCCUGCAUUUAAGAGCAGAUCUUGCUACAGAACCGGAUUUCUGGGAAGGUGCUACUUUGGGCCUGCUCCCCUUGACUUCCCGUUGACCCCAUUUGAAUUUUGGAUGACUGGGAUAACUUCCAAGCUGUUUGAACUCCAGGCGAUUAAAAAUCGAUUUGCGGGGAAAUUCCAAUCUUGAAAAAACCGAUCUGCCAGAGAAAGAAGAAGCCUGAUUGAUACCCAAGGGCACCAAAUUUGCCCCUGUUAGCCUGACAGGCGGACGAUCAGCAUUGAUCCGGCCCCCUUUAGACGGGAGAUCACCGUUUCUUUUGAGAGAAUCCGCGUAAGAGUUCUUGGCUCUUUUGUAACGUGGAAAUACCCAAGAGUAAGCAGGUCCGGAAUCUUUCUUUGCAAAAGAUGAGAGCUUUGCGAAAUCCACUAUCAUUAUUUAGGAAGAAACCCAAUUUGAACCAUUCGCAUUCAGACAUACCCAAAUCACAGAUGAAGAAACCCACAUCCCGGGAAAGAACUUUGAAUUUGAAAAGUUGAUCUUCCAGCUGCUCAGCCCUAAAUUUGGAUGUCGUCCCUCCCAGGACAGCUUGUAAGCAAAUGUUCAUGGAAUCCUCCGAUAAACGAAAUCUGUUUCUGCUGAAAGAGACCAGCAAGGAAAAGCCCUCGCUUGCUGAUCUCCCUUCCGAGUUAAUAGGGCAUUUCAGAGAGUCAAGAACCUUCUUGCUAAAGAGUUCACCCGAAAGAAAAUCCAACUUAUUGAAAUCCAUUUCAAGAAAGUCACGACCAAAGGGGAGGAGGACCUGCGGGAGAGGAGGAAGAAGGGGAGCUUUCACCUGGAAGAGGAAAACGAUCACCUUGAAGGAAGAAAAUUGAUCGGCAAAAGACCGAGAGGGGGGAGUUAAGCCUAGAGAACUCCCGAGUUCAGAGACUCCUAGUCAAGAACUCCUUGAGAGGAGAGAUGAAGAUCCGGGAUGUGGCAGUAGAGCCUCUAGUGGACGCCGGGACUGGCAUGGCCAUCGGUGGUUGAGAACAGGGCUCCGGCGGCGCGGUGAGCAUCAGUUGGACGCUGAGGCUGGGGUGGCCAUCGGCGGCAAAGCCACACUGGAAGCUUUCUAGUAGUUCAACUGAUGGUUUGGUGUAAUCAUUUGGAUCAAUGUGGUAAAUCAGGCCAGGGUCAGCUGCCCUGUUGGGGUUUAUGUGGCCCCCUCCGUAGUCAAAUGGGUCAGCAAUCUUUCGAGGCAAUCCUUCCCUAUACUAUAGAAUUGCAUGGAGCUUUAUUUAUAACUACAGUAAAUGAAUAGAUUUCGCAGCUGGUGGAUUUAAUUGGUACGAUAUCCUAAUAUUGCCUGCUGUGUGAUCUACAGAAGGAAAUGCAAGACCGUGUAACAAGAAUGAUGACUUACGAAUUCCCCCGUCUGUUAAUAAUAGUAGUCGUAGUUAAGUAACCACAUGAACAAUUCAUAACUAUAAUCCCUCCGUCCCAAAUUACUAUUCGUUUUGACUUUUCUAGAUACACACCUUUUAAUAUGCACCUAGAUAUAUACUUAUGUCUAGAUAUAUAGCAAAAGUGAUGUAUCUAGGAAAACUAAAAUGAAUAGUAAUUUGGGACGGAGAGAGUAGCUCUCUACAUACUGUGCGACAACUAUGAUUCAUAAUAGGUAAUACUCCAUCCGUUCCAAAUUGUAGAUCGUUUUGGCUUUUUAAGGUUCAUACAUAUUAUUAUGCAUCUAGACAUACACUAUAUCUAAAUGCAUAAUAAUAUCUACGGACCUAGAAAAGCAAAUACGAUCUACAAUUUGGAACAGAGAGAGUAUGUGAUACCCUAGUGAGAGCCAUUCUUGUAACAGUUACCCUGCAUGGACUAUCGUGCUAUAGUUAACCAUUGAAGCUAAUGUGACAAUAUUUAGAAAGAACUAACAUUUGCUUUUGCGGUUUUGCCAAUUCCCCUCAUAAUUUCACAUAAUCAUUCUUAGCAUGAUUACAACGAAUUAAACUGUAGAACUGUUAUAUUGCACUCGGGCUGUUAGGAGAAAACCGUGAUGGGUGACAUGGUCAUGACACGCUGCUCCAAUGCCGGUUUUAGAGGAAGAAGGCUAGGCGAGGAAGACAUUAUUUAAGAAACAAAAAAAUGUUUUUUUGUUAAAUUUUAAUUUCCACCAUGUUUGCUUGAGCAGCAUGUGUUGAUAUCUCGAAGAGUUCUUAUCUCUACAAUAAAAAAACUAAGAGCAACUCCAAGAGCUCCCUUAAACUACUCCUAAAACCUUAAUUGAGGGAAAAUAGUAAAAAAAGUUGCUCCAACAGAUCCCCUAAACCUCCCGCAAAUUUACGUCCACCCGCAUCCGGAGCUAAUUUUCCCGUAAAUAUACGCAGCGCACCUCCUUCCCCAAUCCAUUCUCGCGCGCCCACUCGCACCUUUUUUUCCCCACGCGCGCCAUUUUCCCGAGCAUCUUCGGCAGCGGUGGCGCCGUUCCUUAUCCUUGCAGUGGCGGCGGCCACGGCACCCGGCCUUCCCCGAGCGGCAGCGGCAACACCCGGCCUGUCCUCCCCGAGCGGCGGCGGCGCCCGGCCUUUCCUCCCCGAGCGGCGGCUGCGCCGGCGGCCGGCCCUGUCCUCCCCAAGCGGCGGCGACACUAGGGCUGUCCUCCCCGCCGGCGGCGGUGCUGGCGGCCGGCCCUGUCCUCCCCAAGCAGCGACGGCGCCGGGGCUGUCCUCCCCGCCGGCGGCGGUGCCGGCGGCCGGCCCUGUCCUCCCCGAGGGCCGCGACAGGAAGGUCCGCUUCGUUCGCUGGAUCGUUGGCAAAUAGUUCCCAGGUACGGUUUCCAGGUGCUCGAUUUUCCUAAUUCACUUUCUGGUUAGCAGGCCUCUUUAUUAGCUCUAGCAGUGUCCUGGUUGAAAAACCGAUUUGUUAGGUGUUUUAGAUGUUGGAUUCAAUACUUCUGAUGGUUGCUGCGAUAUUAUCCUAAAUUGUGCUAUGUUUCUUGGCCCUCUCUGGAUUGUUUGCAAGGAUGAAAUUGAGCAGCCUCUGAAAUUGUUUUCUUGCAUCAGAUCCAUGCUUGGGGAUGGUUACCCCUAGUAUGUCAUAUCUUGUGCAGAAGUCUUGCUAGAGAAGAGAAGCAUGAACUGCAAGGCACAUCAUAGACCUGGUAGUUGAAGCCUUGUGCUGAAGUUAAAUGUAAAUAUAAUUGUGUUUUGAAAACCCCUAAGUUCGUGCUAGAUUUGGCAAUGUACAUUGCCUGGCGCAAUCUCGUCCCAAAUGAAUGGUCUUUCUAGCAGCAAGACCUUCAGGUGUAGUGCAAUGCUUUGAACCAAUGGCUUGCAAGUUCAGCAGGUUCAGAACACAAAGAUAUCUGUUUACUAUGUCAAUGUUGCUUGAGUAAUUGGGAUAGGAGUCACAGAACAGUUGCUUGAGUAAUUCAACAUCUGUACUAAUUCAGCAUCUAGUUAGGAUGUUGCAGGAAAACAAAUCCUAACCAAAUAAUUUAGUCAUAUAACUGAGCUGACAAAACUAAUUUGGAAAAAAGUUUUGAGAUAUCCAGGCUGACAGCAGCAGCUCUCCCACGUAGAAAAAGAUAUCAAGGCUAACAAACUUACAUUCUCCAAUUUGUAAGCAUUAGAAAAAGAAAGGGGCAUCAAAAAACAACUUUGAAAAAGUAGAAGAUACCAGACUGACAGUACCGCAUAAUGAAUCUGUAACUGACUAAGUUUUUGGAAGUAACAUGCUUAUAAUUGUAUCUUAGCUUAGUAACACCAUUAUUUUCGUGUUACAGUAACUCCAAGAGCUCCCAAUGUCAAGCGCUCCCAUCCGGCAAGUUCAAGAUUGGCGCGGCAGGCAGAAGAUGCGUCGGGUCAUGGCCAUCGGCGGCCCCAACGCCCAAUGGAACGGCGGCGUCCAAGAUUUCCAGUUUGCCGGUGGUGAGUACCUUGGCCGGACUAGUGGAGGUGAGAUACGAAGUGAAGGGUAGGGUCGACGACCACCAUGUCCUCCGAUAGACGGCCUUGCCGGCGAUGAUGAUGAUCCCCUAGCGGAGCAUUACCCUGGCAGUGAUGCCCCCUAUGCAUCCUUUGAGCACAUGGCCAACGGUAACGAUUUUCUCAAUGGUAUCAUCAUGCAAAAUACUAGAAGGACAAAAGCUUUGAUGCACAUACUGUGUCAAAUAUAGUUUCUUCUUUCUCAUUUUUCUAAAUGCAUUUUCAUUGAUUGAUUCCUACAACGAAUUACAUAUGUUCAAAUGUACCUUGGAACUAUCUGUCAUCUUAUAUCCUUAAAAUAUACAGUAGAGUUCAUAGUACUGGGAUGUCCUAUGUUGUUGAUUAAUGAGCUUUGAAGACGAUAUACAGUAGAGUUCAGAGUUCAGAGUACAGUAGAGUUCUGUUGCAUGUCGUCCUGGAAUUGUAUUACAUCUCUUUGGUUUGUGAAGUGUUUAGGCAGUAAUAUUUCUGAGACUGGUACAGCUGCAGCUGAUUGUGGAUGCUUGUAUCAUAUCUGCAUGUAUUGCUUGCACGUGUUAGUAGUGUCUGAUUUUUACAGUGCAUACCAGAAAGAAAUGAAAGUGGAAUCCAACCAAAAAUAAUAUAUUUACCUCUGUUCAUCAGCUUGGUAGAAUUACUACUGCUCUAUGUUUUAUAUUCAUUGAGGUUUGAUAGAAAACUUAUUAGUGAUUAAAUGCUUGCAGGAAAUGGGUAUUUUUCCAACAUGAUGAUGGAUGAAACCAAUCAAGGGGAUUUUGAUAAUUAUAACAAUACAUGUGCUGACCAACAGUCACAAGCAAUUAAAAAAGUUCCAGCAACCCCUCUCCGAGGCCAAACCAUAAGAGAUCCAAGAAUUUCAGUGACCACGAAGAUGAGGUUUUGGUUUCUGGAUGGCUGAAUGUAAGCUUGGACCCGGUCGUAGGCAAAGAUCAAAAAGGUGCCAAGUAUUGGUCUCGUAUCUAUGAGUACUUCAAUCAACACAAGACGUGCCCCUCAACGCGUACAAUGAAUUCUCUCAUGCACCGGUGGGAGACCAUACAAAAAUGUGUGAACAAAUUUUGUGGAUGUGUAUCACGGAUUGAGUUAAGACGUCAAAGUGGUACUACAAUGCAAGACAAGGUACUUACUCACUAUGUAGUACCAGGUUUUGUUUUGACUAUUUUAUGUUUUUAUAUCAUAUAUGAAUAUUCCUUGGAUGUUGGUGUGCAGGUUGCAGAGGCAUGUGCUUUGUACAAGUCCAAAGACGAACAUCAAAAAGCAUUCCAGUUCAUGCAUUGCUAGAAUAAGCUGAGAACACAACCAAAAUGGCUUGCUAAAAUUGAUGAAUUGGCGGCUGGUAAAACAUCUCACAAGAAGCAGAAGACAAGCUCCAGUGCAAGUUUACCAAUUGAAUUAGGAGAAGGUGAGGUUCAAGGCAUAGAGGAUAAUGCAUUGACAAGGCCAAUUGGUAAGAAGAAGGCAAAACUAGCACUACUGCAAGAGAAGAAAAAAAGUGUGACAGCAACCUUAGAAAAUAUGUGGGCACAGAAGAAAGAAACUAAUGAGGAGAAAGAGCUAAAAAAAGAGGAGAGGUUCAACAAAGCAUUUGCACUUGAACAAGAACGAGUUGCUCUUGAACAGGAUCGAGUUGCAAAUGAAAAACUACUUCUUGAGUUGAGGAGCCAGGAGGUCCAAUUGCAAAAAAGGAGGGAUGAAGAGAGGAUUAUGACCAUGGACCUUACUACCAUGCCAGAUGAGCAAAAGAAAUACUACAUGUCCUUGUGCGCUGAGAUCAUGAGUCGACUAUCUAUGUCUAGUG
rnacentral:lncRNA from 1 species